rnacentral:rRNA from 1 species
GAUGAACGCUAGCUACAGGCUUAACACAUGCAAGUCGAGGGACCGGCGCACGUGUGAGUAACACGUAUCAAACCUGCCCUUUACUCGGGGAUAGCCUUUCGAAAGAAAGAUUAAUACCUGAUAUAAUGGAUGGGGAUGCGUUCCAUUAGGUUGUUGGUGAGGUAACGGCCCACCAAGCCUUCGAUGGCUAGGGGUUCUGAGAGGAAGGUCCCCCACAUUGGAACUGAGACCCAGACCAAACUCCGACGGGGGGCAGGAGUGAAGUAUAUAGGGCAAGGGGCGCUAGCCUGAACCAGCCAAGUAUCGUGAAGGAUGAAUGCUUAUGGGUCUUAUACUUCUUUUAUAUAAGAAUAUGUAUUAGACGAAUAAGGAUCGGCUAACUCCGUGCCAGCCGCCGCGGUAAUAC